rnacentral:rRNA from 1 species
CAUCCGCGUGUGCGAUGAAGGCCUUCGGGUUGUAAAGCACUUUUGGCAGGAAAGAAACGUGCGGGUUAAUACCCUGCGCGGAUGACGGUACCUGCAGAAUAAGCACCGGCUAACUACGUGCCAGCAGCCGCGGUAAUACGUAGGGUGCAAGCGUUAAUCGGAAUUACUGGGCGUAAAGCGUGCGCAGGCGGUUCGGAAAGAAGGAUGUGAAAUCCCAGGGCUUAACCUUGGAACUGCAUUCUUAACUACCGGGCUAGAGUGUGUCAGAGGGAGGCGGAAUUCCGCGUGUAGCAGUGAAAUGCGUAGAUAUGCGGAGGAACACCGAUGGCGAAGGCAGCCUCCUGGGACAACACUGACGCUCAUGCACGAAAGCGUGGGGAGCAAACAGGAUUAGAUACCCUGGUAGUCCACGCCCUAAACGAUGUCAACUAGCUGUUGGGGCCUUCGGGCUUUAGUAGCGCAGCUAACGCGUGAAGUUGACCGGCUGGGGAGUACGGUCGCAAGAUUAAAAUUCAAAGGAAUUGACGGGGACCCGNACAAGCG